AGCGCCGAACACCUGACUGAAGAUAAACUCGGCACCGAGCAGGCUGUGUGGCUCAGGCGCAGAGGGCGUAACGUAUCCCAUAUCCAGCGGGUCGGUGUACGAAUCUGUCCGAGUGAUGCGUUUGUUACGGUCGAGCGUAAUCGUGCGUAGCUCGAGCAUUCGUGCGGAAAAGGAGGGUGGUCGCGUUAUCAUCGACACGGUUUCGCCGUCUCACCUGUGACAGCCCGGCUGUGAUAGACGAGCAGAAAGAGCGUGUGGAGGUGUUCCCAUGGGGUCGUCUCACUGGGCACACUGUGAUGUUGUACACAAAGCUUGGAAAAGCAGAAUGUGCCUGUUAAGCUGAAGGAGGUGACAAGGUCUUUGAUAGUCCUUCAAAACACAUCAUUUCAUCGUUUGUUGCUACAAGAAACGUCAAGAUGGUCAGAGCAGUUGUUUGCCAAGUGCUCUUUAGAGUGGCACUUCCUGUUGUUUUGUUGCUAGCGGUGCUGUUUCGCUACAAUGUGUUCUCCUUUGUGUACUUACUUCUUCUGUUGGCCAAUCCGUUAAUUCCUGGACCUAAUUCCAGGAAUGCAAAUAUAGUACGAACAAACUGCUACCUCAAGACUGUUGUAGGAGCAAGCACUUUGUUUUGUGUGGCUCAAGUGGUCUACCAAAUAGUACUUUUAUCAA